rnacentral:lncRNA from 1 species
UCGACCAGUAGGGUUGAGAUAGAUACAUUGCAGCGUUCUCAUUCUAUAGUCUCUAGGAAACAGGGUGAGCCUUUGCCUCGAAGGAUUGCAGUGGACUCAAGAGAUAGUGGUAAUAGUAACCAUAACAAUGGAAAUGGUCUGCUUUCCGGGGGUACUGUUGGGACUAGCAUCAGCAAGGCUGUGUUUGAGAAAGAUUUUCCCUCACUUGGAACUGAAGAGAGGCAAGGGGUGCCUGAGAUAGC